GUGCCAGCCGCCGCGGUAAGACGAACCGUACGAACGUUAUUCGGAAUUACUGGGCUUAAAGGGUGCGUAGGCGGCGCAGUAAGUUGGGUGUGAAAUCCCUCGGCUUAACCGAGGAAUUGCGCCCAAAACUACUGUGCUCGAGGGAGAUAGAGGUGAGCGGAACUUAGGGUGGAGCGGUGAAAUGCGUUGAUAUCCUAAGGAACACCGGUGGCGAAAGCGGCUCACUGGAUCUCUUCUGACGCUGAGGCACGAAAGCUAGGGUAGCAAACGGGAUUAGAAACCCCCGUAGUCC
rnacentral:rRNA from 1 species